rnacentral:lncRNA from 1 species
CAUACUGUUCGCAUGGUAGUGAAUAAGUCUCAUGAGAUCUGAUGGUUUUAUCAGGGGGUUCUGCUUUUGCAUCUUCCUCAUUUUUCUCUUGCCACCACCAUGUUAAGAAGAGCCUUUUGCCUCCCACCAUGAUUCUGAGGCCUCCCCAGCCAUGCAGAACUGUGUUUCUGACUCAGCAAAAGUGGCCUUGAGUCUUGUUGUCCUCAGUUCCUGAAGCUAUCACUGUGUAUCAAGGGAGCCCAGGGGCAGCCCCACACUGCAUCCCUAGAGUAGGUCUGGUCUCAGCCUUGCUUCAGCAAAUGGACUGAAACUGGGAAAUAAGAAGUAACACACAUAGACACAUUUCUCUUCCUGCCUGCCCAGAAAACCACUACCUCAAAGCCUUCUCUCUCAAGCAGAUGCACUCUUAUCCUUUGAGGCUGCAGAUGCCAGGGACAUGCUUCCAUUGCAGCAUCAUCAAGAUGGCUUGGGAUCAAGAUGACUUGGGCGCACUAUCCUCCCUACCAGGCCCUGAGCAACACCAUCAUUUCUCAUUCCUAAUUCCCAGGAGAGCAUGGCACAGAGAGGUGCUCAGCAUCUUCCUGAGACUUAUAGAAGAAGCCAAGGAGCUGAGAGCAGCAGAGACAAGAAACAGAGGGAGAGUGAGAAAGUCCCGGGCCAUUCCGCAACUCAAGCAGGAGAAAAACCCAGGAGUGGGGUGGCGUAGGCGGGGCCACCACAAGGAGCCCGUGCAUCAGGGGGCGCAGGCUGUUUCUGGAUCAUUCCACUGGGAAGGGGACAAAACCCAUCUUUUAUGACCCAUGUUCAGUUCUCAGUUGGAGUCAGGCUGGAGUGCAAUGGUGCGAUCUUGACUCACCGCAACCUCCACCUUCCGGUUUCAAGCAAUUCUCCUGUCUCAGCCUCCCAAGUAAUUGGGAUUACAGGCAUGUAAUCCCACCACGCCUGGCUAUUAAAUUAAUAUUUAACCCUUUUAAAGGAUAUGAUUUGGUGGCAUUAAUUACAUCCAC